UAAUUACAGUGUUCCAAGGUCCAACUCACCUGUGCUUGCACAAAGGUGAGCUGGACUUUGGAACACGCCCAAAUAUGAGCAUAAAAGGGAAGCGUCAGCUUUCCGAUAUGCGAAUAUUUGUAUGGAUUGUGGGAGUGCUCUGCACGGAGCAAUCCAUGUAAUUA
rfam:Eubacterium sp. CAG:192 genomic scaffold, scf292